GACGAACGCUGGCGGCGUGCUUAACACAUGCAAGCCGAACGAUGAAGCCGGAGCUUGCUCUGGUGAAUUAGUGGCGAACGGGUGAGUAACACGUGAGUAACCUGCCCUUGACUAUGGGAUAACUGCGGGAAACUGUAGCUAAUACCGGAUACGACCCUCGGAGGCAUCUCCUGGGGGUGGAAAGAAUUUCGGUAAAGGAUGGACCCGCGGCCUAUCAGCUAGUUGGUGAGGUAAAGGAUCACCAAGGCGACGACGGGUAGCCGGCCUGAGAGGGUGACCGGCCACACUGGGACUGAGACACGGCCCAGACUCCUACGGGAGACAGCAGUGGGGAAUAUUGCACAAUGGGCGCAAGCCUGAUGCAGCAACGCCGCGUGAGGGAUGACGGCCUUCGGGUUGUAAACCUCUUUUAGCAGGGAAGAAGCGAAAGUGACGGUACCUGCAGAAAAAGCACCGGCUAACUACGUGCCAGCAGCCGCCGAA
rnacentral:rRNA from 1 species